GAGUUUGAAAUAAAAGGAAAUCCUUGUACUUGACAAAUACAAGGUAUUUCUUUGAGAAACGAAUAUCUUGUAUAGGGUAUCAUACAGUGAUGAUUUCUUGUAUCUAAAGCGAUUAAGAAAUGGGAACCUACUUGCCAUGAUGAAAACUCACUUCUUAUUGAAGAUUACGAAUGAAAAACGUAAGUUUUGUUUUAUUUUUACUUAAUUAGUUUCAUUUUUUGUUUAAUUAAUUAGUUUCAGUUUCUCCCCACUUAAAUAUUUUCAUGUUUUGCUUACUUAAUCUUUUUUUUUUUUUGGUAGUAAAAGAACAUGAGAAGGAACAUUGAGGCAGUUUAUCUUAUAUCUUGUGUUGUAGUCUAGGAACCAACGGUUUUGUUUCCCCAUCCUUACGUUGUGUCAUUUUGAAUAUAGUGGGAAGUACAAAUACAAGUAUAGUUAUGCGAUGAGAUAAAAAAGUUGAGAAUCGUCCAUUCUCAUCUUUAAGCAUUAUGAUGCAUAUCAAUAAAGCGAUGAUUAAAUGCAUAAACACUCACAAAACCAUAUUAAAAGAUUGAAGGGAAAUUUGUGUUAUGAAUGUAUUAUUUAUAAUCAAAGGUAGACA
rnacentral:lncRNA from 1 species